rnacentral:rRNA from 1 species
UGAGGAAUAUUGGUCAAUGGACGCAAGUCUGAACCAGCCAAGUAGCGUGCAGGAUGACGGCCCUAUGGGUUGUAAACUGCUUUUAUAUGGGGAUAAAGUGGGGAACGUGUUCCCUUUUGCAGGUACCAUAUGAAUAAGGACCGGCUAAUUCCGUGCCAGCAGCCGCGGUAAUACGGAAGGUUCGGGCGUUAUCCGGAUUUAUUGGGUUUAAAGGGAGCGUAGGCUGUUUGUUAAGCGUGUUGUGAAAUGUAAGAGCUCAACUUUUAGAUUGCAGCGCGAACUGGCAGACUUGAGUGCGCACAACGUAGGCGGAAUUCAUGGUGUAGCGGUGGAAUGCUUAGAUAUCAUGACGAACUCCGAUUGCGAAGGCAGCUUACGGGAGCGCAACUGACGCUAAAGCUCGAAGGUGCGGGUAUCGAACAGG